rnacentral:rRNA from 1 species
GCCAACGGCCAUAGGGAGGAGGUCACACCCGGUCUCUUCUCGAACCCGGAAGUUAAGCUCCUCUACGGCGUUGCUGGUACUGCACUUCGUGCGGGAAAGCGCGCUGCUGUUGGCA